GAUGAAGAACGUAGUGAAUUGCGAUACUUGGUGUGAAUUGCAGAAUCCCGUGAACCAUCGAGUCUUUGAACGCAAGUUGCGCCUCAAGCCAUUAGGUUGAGGGCACGUCUGCCUGGGCGUCACAUAUCGUUGCCUGAUGCCAGUUUCCUCGUGAUGGGUGACUGUGCAGGGCGAAUGAUGGCUUCCCGUGAGCAUUGUUGCCUCAUGGUUGGUUGAAAAUUGAGUCCUUGGUAGGGAGCGCCGUGAUAGAUGGUGGUUGAGUGACGAACGAGACCCAAUCAUGUGAGACCCCUACCGAAUUUGGCCUUCAUGACCCACAUGCGUCUUUGGAACGCUCAUGACGAGACCUCAGGUCAGGCGGGGCUACCCGCUGAGUUUAAGCAUAUCAAUAAGCGGAGGA
rnacentral:misc_RNA from 1 species